CUGCAACUCCAGAAGCUACCCACCACCCUGAUCUCUCUCUCUCUCUCUCUCUCUCCUUCUGCCAAGCAAGCGCUCUUUCUCAAUCAAGCGCCGAAGCAACCACCGCAGCACAAGCACUCUCGGUCUCCUUCUCUCAUGUUUUCGGUUCAGGUCUGCACUUCUGAUUUCCUCAAUUCCAUCACAGAUUUCGAGUUUUAAGCCAUGAGUGUGUCAUGUCUUGGUUGCUAUCCUCAAAGUUGAACUUAUUGUUGCAUUUCCAUGCAAGUUUCAACUGCAUCAGAUUUCUCAAGGGAGUGCCAAUGAAAUUAUUUCAGCUACAGAAAUGGGCCCCAUGUAGAUGAUCUGAAACUAUUUGCUGCCAUGAUGGUCCAGGUUCUUCAUCUACAUAUUGACAACUGCGUGUUGCUUGCUACUAUAAGUCGCUAAAGAUAUUCAGAAAUUGAGAUGGUGACUACAGAUAGUGGAGGGAUUUGGCAGUUGCGGUGCAUAGAUUAAGAAGGUGAAUAGAUAUCCUUCACAUGGGUACUUAGAUGUUUGUAGGUGAUGAAGUAUCAUAUGGUGUGUUUCUCUUGAAACCUUAGUUUAUUGUAUAAGAUAAGUCUAUCGUCUAAGAUCCUAUGAUCUCAAAGGGAGAGUUUAGGGAGCUUGACAUUCACAUGUCCCCAACUCUCUAGAGUAAAAAGAGUGAGGAAGGAAGAGAAGGUGGGCCACAUCCACAUGCCCUCAGGUCUACAUUAUCCAUAUUGCCUAUCUAAGGCCUCUCAUAUAGACGGUUCUGGUUUGAUUUAGCUUCUAUCAAGAUAUAGAUGGAAGAUUUCAUCUCUUUAUCUAAGAUAGAUGUGGGAGAGACUCAGUAUUAGAAGAUCAACAACAAUAACGAUCAACAAAUCUACUUUCGGUAUGAUUAGAAAGUAAUUUUUUCCUUCCUUUAAGAAACAUGGACUAAU